CUGGACUCUCGGGAUCAGGAUGAGGAGGAAGAGAAGAGGAACGCGGCCAAUGGCAAGAAGAAGCGCAGCUUUGUGGAUGCGUUUAUCGUCAUAUCUGACAGCGAUGGAGAGGUCAGAUGCUGGUUUUGGUAGAAGGAGGGAGGCGUGUUCGGGCCUCGGCUGGAAUACCCGCCCACUACCCUUUCCUGUUCUCCAUCAACCAUGGCAGCGGGCGCUUUGUUUUGGGACCAGGCGUGGCCUGAGCGACAUCUUACCGUGGAGAUGGUGGCACUGGAAGCGUCACAGCCAGGGUGGCAGCGCCCACCCCGCACCGCUGACCGUCCAAGCAAAGCAGAGCCGCCCGGGAGCGUUCCUGCGGCACCCGCUGUCCCCACGGGCUCUGCUGCGGUGCCGAGGGACCCGGUGCCUCCAGUCCCCGAGGAGAACGCGUGUGAGGCUGCUCCCCAGGCGGCUCUGCUGCCUUCGCUCCUCGGAAAUCAGCAGGAGUCAAAGGAAGAGAGUGGAUUGCAAAAGAAGAGAACAAAACAGCAGCUGGAUAGAACCAAGUUCACUGCUAAAAGGAAAAUUGCACACAUGACUGAAGAGGAACAGUUUGCACUGGCCCUGAAAAUGAGUGAGCAAGAAGCCAGACAAGUGAACUGUCAGGAAGAAGAGGAGGAGGAGCUCUUGAGGAAGGCCAUUGCUGAGAGCCUUAGUAGCUGUCAACCCUCGGAGUCCUCUGAUGCAACCCCUCAGUUGUCUGCAGAAGUGCUGGGCGUGCGAGGCCGAAGCCAGCCCACCGAGAAAGAAGGCUCUGACAUCCUGGGGAGUCUGGCGGUUUGCCCUGACACCCCUCCCUCCCAGUGCAGCUCCCACUCAGAGAGUGCCAGAGCUGAUGGGAACGGACAGACGGAUGUCGCCCGGAGCCCUCUGGUAGUGUUGAAGAGGUUGAGCCAGGAAAUCGUUGAAAGCUCACUAGUAUCCAGCAUAAUCGUGUCUCCGGGGAAGGGCCAGCCUCUGACAAGGUCAAGUGAAAAGCCUUCCUCACCAGCAAAAAGUGAUUCUAGUAACAUGUUACCCAGCACCCUGGGAGAGGACCUGAUCUCUUUGAGUCCCACCUUUGGCAGGGCGACUUCAGGCUCCUGGCGACUGACACCUCGGAGACUGUUCACAAGCCCCUCCAGCUCUUCCGAAGCAACCGGCCAGGAACCAAAAGAGCAGCCCCUGCCCUGCACCGGCCGUUCUGCGAGAGAAUCCAGUGCCGGGAGCUCAGCCGCGCUCUGGAAGAGCUGGACCACGGAAUGGUGUGGCAGCCCCAGGAGGAGCGGUGGAGGAGCAGGUACUGAACACCCCUCGCAGCCUGGGCACAAAGCCUGUGUUUCCACAAAGCAAGCAGAGCAGAACCAGGUGCCCAAAAGCACCCCUGAGCUUUGCGUGCUGAAUGCGACAGAGGACAAGCACAAGCCAGAGGAGGUGAGGGACACAGUGCACUAUUAUUGGGGCAUCCCCUUCUGCCCCAAAGGGGUGGACCCCAACCAGUACACCAAAGUCAUCUUGUGUCAGCUGGAGGUUUACCAGAAGAGCCUGAAGCAGGCUCAGAGGCAGCUGUUGCAUAAGAAGGAGUUUGGUAACCCGGUUGUGCCCAGUUCUUCCUUGAGCACAAACGAGCUUGUGAAAGGAGAGCAGAUAAGCAGGGAGAACGGGGUUGCUGAUGAUACAGAAGAUGGAGACCCAGAUGGGCAGAAGGAGUCUGAGAGCGUCGCCUGGCUCCUCCCUUUAAAGAGGAGGGAGGCAGAGAGUCCAGGGCACAGCAUGGACGAAGAGAAGAACUCCACUUCUGACGAUGAACCGACCACCAGCUACUGCCAGGCCUCCCAGGUGCUGCCUGCCGAGGAUGCGCCUGAAGACGAGGAGCCCAUGCAAAUUGCCCAGAGCCUCUCCGUGUUGACCCCACUUGGCAAUAAAAGGAGCCCAGAUAUUGCCACAGAAACCUCUGCUGAAGAAGAGAUCUCUGUUUGCCCAGAGACCCAGCCGAGCCCGCUGGAAGCUGUCGAGGUGGAGAGUGAAGAACUUUGCAGAGAGGCGCCUGUGCAGGCCGAUGGAGAUGAAGAUACCGGCAGGACCGUGUCUGAGAGCAGUCCUACAGCUACUGAUCACGUAUCGUGCCCUCUGUGUGCCCAAGGCUUUCCAGCUACGGAGAUCGAGCUGCACGCCAUGUACUGCAACGGCAGUGCGGGAGAGGAGGCUGGCAGGGACACUCCAGGAAUAUGCUGAGAGGAGUUCGACUGAAAGAGACAACACUCUGACGUGCUCCCUGAAGAUGCCUGGAGAGCAUGUUUGGAAAGGCUGCCGGCGAUCGUUGAAGGAGCAGAACUUGCUGGACCCGUGGUCAGCGUGUCAUUCAGCCGGGGUCUCACCAGCUGCCCGCGAGCGUCGGAGCCGGCGCCAGCUGGAGAACCGCGCCACUGAUGCUCAGCCCUGCCACAGAGCUUCACCCAAAUGCCCCACAGAGCUGUGUGCAGACCAUAGUUCACAUCACCCCCCGUUUCACGUGGGAAAAGCAGUGAGUGUAGGCUAAUUGUUGUAACCUUCCCGUUCCAACGUGAGCUCUGUCGUUCCCCAGCACGAGUCGCUCUUCUGCAGCAAGGCUGGUGCCCCUGCGCAGCCCCCUGGGCUCCCCUGGCCCCCGAGCUCACAGUCACCACGUUCCCUCCCGCAGCAGGCGCCGGCGCUGGGUUUGGCAGGGAGUGGUGCUGAGCUGCCGGAGCGGCUGCGUAACUCCGUGUAACUCUGCUCCCAGGCUGCUGCACAUCAGCUGUAAAAUGACUGUAAACUGCAUGCUGUCCAUCCAGCUGUUUCUGGCAGAAGAUGAGUUAUGGUGUGAAAUGGUCAGUUGGCUGCUCGGUCCGGGGAAGGUAACUUCUUCAGUAUCCCCCCAGAAGAAGGAAUUGGCCAGCAGGCUCUUCUGCAGGAAAGAAGACUCUGCCCGUCCCACUCCAGUGCUUCUACCAUCGCUUCUGCUGCAGCCUUGAACGGAAGAGAUUAAAACAUGUUGCGUUUGAAUGUGGUGUAGGGAUGAUUUGGGGUGGAUGGUCGGUAACCCUUUCUGUUUUUCCUCCAGUGCUCACCCGGCGUCAGAGAGAAGCAAGAAGUAAAGCUGCCAACAGAGACAGCGGCCCAGCAUCCUUGGACAUUGACAAGACGCUGGACAGCAGGGGAAGGGACUCCUCAAGAUGCUGGAGCUCUCGGAGAGCAAGUCUGCAG